GACGAACGCUGGCGGCGUGCUUAACACAUGCAAGUCGAGCGGUAAGGCCCUUUCGGGGGUACACGAGCGGCGAACGGGUGAGUAACACGUGGGUGACCUGCCCUUAGCUCUGGGGAUAAGCCUGGGAAACUGGGGUCUAAUACCGGAUAUGACUCCAUGACGCAUGUUGUGGGGUGGAAAGCCUUGUGCGGCUGAGGAUGGGCCCGCGGCCUAUCAGCUUGUUGGUGGGGUGAUGGCCACCAAGGCGACGACGGGUAGCCGGCCUGAGAGGGCGACCGGCCACACUGGGGACUGAGAUACGGCCCAGACUCCUACGGGAGGCAGCAGUGGGGAAUAUUGGACAAUGGGCGCAAGCCUGAUCCAGCGAUGCCGCGUGUGUGAAGAAGGCCUGCGGGUUGUAAAGGCACUUUCAGUAGGGAAGAAAAGCCGAGUGCUAAUAUCACUCGGUCUUGACGUUACUU
rnacentral:rRNA from 1 species